rnacentral:rRNA from 1 species
CUGGCGGCAGGCCUACACAUGCAUCCCUAACGGUAGCACAGAAGAGCUUGCUCUCUUCCUGACGAGUGGCGGACGGGUGAGUAAUGUCUGGGAAACUGCCUGAUGGAGGGGGAUAACUACUGGAAACGGUAGCUAAUACCGCAUAACGUCGCAAGACCAAAGAGGGGGACCUUCGGGCCUCUUGCCAUCAGAUGUGCCCAGAUGGGAUUAGCUAGUAGGUGGGGUAACGGCUCACCUAGGCGACGAUCCCUAGCUGGUCUGAGAGGAUGACCAGCCACACUGGAACUGAGACACGGUCCAGACUCCUACGGGAGGCAGCAGUGGGGAAUAUUGCACAAUGGGCGCAAGCCUGAUGCAGCCAUGCCGCGUGUAUGAAGAAGGCCUUCGGGUUGUAAAGUACUUUCAGCGGGGAGGAAGGUGUUGUGGUUAAUAACCACAGCAAUUGACGUUACCCGCAGAAGAAGCACCGGCUAACUCCGUGCCAGCAGCCGCGGUAAUACGGAGGGUGCAAGCGUUAAUCGGAAUUACUGGGCGUAAAGCGCACGCAGGCGGUCUGUCAAGUCGGAUGUGAAAUCCCCGGGCUCAACCUGGGAACUGCAUUCGAAACUGGCAGGCUGGAGUCUUGUAGAGGGGGGUAGAAUUCCAGGUGUAGCGGUGAAAUGCGUAGAGAUCUGGAGGAAUACCGGUGGCGAAGGC